rnacentral:rRNA from 1 species
UACGGGAGGCAGCAGUGGGGAAUAUUGCACAAUGGGCGCAAGCCUGAUGCAGCCAUGCCGCGUGUAUGAAGAAGGCCUUCGGGUUGUAAAGUACUUUCAGCGGGGAGGAAGGCGAUGCGGUUAAUAACCGCGUCGAUUGACGUUACCCGCAGAAGAAGCACCGGCUAACUCCGUGCCAGCAGCCGCGGUAAUACGGAGGGUGCAAGCGUUAAUCGGAAUUACUGGGCGUAAAGCGCACGCAGGCGGUCUGUUAAGUCAGAUGUGAAAUCCCCGGGCUUAACCUGGGAACUGCAUUUGAAACUGGCAGGCUUGAGUCUUGUAGAGGGGGUAGAAUUCCAGGUGUAGCGGUGAAAUGCGUAGAGAUCUGGAGGAAUACCGGUGGCGAAGGCGGCCCCUGGGACAAGACUGACGCUCAGGUGCGAAAGCGUGGGGAGCAAACGAGGGAUUAGGAU